CCUUCGGGGCUCCUUGGUGAUUCAUGAUAACUUAACGAAUCGCAUGGUCUUGCGCCGGCGAUGGUUCAUUCAAAUUUCUGCCCUAUCAACUUUCGAUGGUGGGAUAGUGGCCUACCAUGGUAUCAACGGGUAACGGGGAAUUAGGGUUCUAUUCCGGAGAGGGAGCCUGAGAAACGGCUACCACAUCCAAGGAAGGCAGCAGGCGCGCAAAUUACCCAAUCCCGACACGGGGAGGUAGUGACAAUAAAUACUGAUACAGGGCUCUUUUGGGUCUUGUAAUUGGAAUGAGUACAAUUUAAAUCCCUUAACGAGGAACAAUUGGAGGGCAAGUCUGGUGGACACACGUCCCAGUGGC
rnacentral:rRNA from 1 species